GUGUCAUACUAUUGGUUAGACAGUUUCCCCUUUAAUGAGGUUGACAGUUAAAACUGUCUCUUACAUUAGGCUGAGUCACACAGAGGAUCCAGCGGUGAAGUGAGGAAACACAAACCUACAACUGAGAUAACAGCAGACGUUACAACCGUAGAAGUUACAACAGCAGAAGUUACAACCAUAGAAAUUACAACAGUAGAAGUUACAAGAUUAGAAGUUACAAGAGUAGAAGAUACAAGAGUAGAAGUUACAACAGUAGAAGUUACUGCAUUUGAGCACAAGUGUGUAAAGAUGUCAGAGGCAAACUAUGGAAACAGAGAUGGAUUUAAAGGCAAAGCACCUAAUGAAAUGAAGACCAUGGAUAUUGAUGAUUGUAUAUACAGCAACGAAACACCCAUCAAGCCCUGCAGGAAGGAUGGAGUUGGUGAUCAACCAUCAGUGUUUUAUCAGUGGUGGAAGAGAUACUCUGGAGCUGCUGCAGUGAGUCUGGGGCUGCUGUGUGUUCUCCUAUUGGCUGGGAUCAUAGGCCUGUUGCUCUACCAGCGAAACCAAUUAACCAGAUCCAACACCCUGACCAAAGAGAGAGACCAGUUACAGACCAGCGGCAACAACCUGACUGAAGAGAGAGACCAGCUA